AUGUAUCACUGACUUUCCCUCCAUUUCCUUCUUUUCAUGUGCUAAAUGUAGAUUCACUGAGCACCAAUAAUAAGAGCUCACAAGGAUGUAACCACUUGCCUCACUGUCUACCCUCCUUUUCUUCCCCCCUCCUGCUUGCUCUUUCCCCUUUAAAUACUGAAGUUCCCCAAAUCCUCUUUGGGAAAAGCAUAGGACAGGUCCUCCUGUGACUGGUGUUUCUUUUUCCCAGGCACGUCCUCAAUCUUGGCAAAAGAAACCUCUAAUGGAUUGAGUGCCGCCUCAGUCACAUUUUCAUUUACACUUUCAACCUUUUCUGACUUCAUCCUCUAGGGUAUUUCUUUCAUGCACAUGUGAAAAAUCAAACUCUACAAAGCAGCUGUUCAUUCCCUUGAAUCCUGACACUUAAAUAACAUCACAACUAAGAGAGCUGCUUUCUCAGGACAGCCGUUCAGAACCACAAGACUUCAGAGAUUCUGGCCCCAAGCCUGUUUCCUGCUGAGGCCCAGCUCACCACGGCGGAAUUUAUCCAGCAGCUGGGACGGUUGGCACCAUCUGCUCAAGAAAGCUGGGAUGAUGAAAAUGUGUGGCUGCAGAACUGAACAGUGGCCAAACUUGUGAGGCAGUAAAGCCAAGGCAGCAUAUAUAGCUACCUGCACUUUGGAACUGUGCUGACUUAUAAUUAUAGAAUGUUUACAACUUGAAGGGACAAUAAAAACCCUUGACUGGUUUAUUAUUUAAAUAAGGGAAAUAAUUUCCUUCUAAAAGUAUCUUGCCUAGAAGACCAUGAACCUGGCCCUUUGCUUUCAUUUUACAGAUGGAUAAACAGAGGCCCGAGAGCCACCCAGUGAGUCAUUAGCAGAGCUGGUGGUGGGCUCUAGGUCUCCUGACCCUGAGACCCUCCCAACACCCACCCAGCUGCUGAGAGGCUCUGCCCAUUGCUUUCCUCUGCACAACACUCCCUUCCAGGCCAAGGCACUGGUGAAGGGGCCCAGGUACAUUUUUUGGGAGAGGAUGACACCCAUAGGUCUUGCCGGUUCCUGCAACAGAAUGGGCAUAUUCUCCUGACCACGAGAAAACACUGCAAACCAGAAAGCACAUAGCAGCCUACCUUCGGUCAUCUUGCUUGGGUGCUGGCUUCCAGUGGUCGUAAUUUGUCUCAACUCGGAACCACCUAUAACAGAGCACAUCAUCUUGUCUUAUCCACGACAAAUUACGACAUAGCAAAAGAGACAUAUGAACAAAUUUUAAAUACCCCUCAUUCCACCAAUUUAAAAACAUGAUUAUUUGAUACAGAAUGACCAGAGGUUUCAGUUCUACUUACGCUCCAUUCAAAGGAUCUAGAGGCCAAAUGUCUGCUGGGCCAUCUCUGUUCCUUGUGAUGACCACCCCCUCCUGGGGGGAUGUGCCACCAACAAUGUAAUAAACAUCAGCAAUGAGGGGAGUCUUGGCCAACUUCUUAACAGCUGCUUCGAAGUUUUCUGACUCAUUCAGGGUCUGAACAAAAAGAAGAACUUGCAUGAGCAACCUCACCUGCAGCUGGGUCCGUACCAGAUGAUGCAAAAAUGAUCCAAAGCACAUUCUCCUGAUAACGUUAUGUCAUGACUAUCACUUUGAUUUGCUCUGACCUUAUCCUCUUGCAAUCAGGGCUCCUAAGACGGAAGAAAUUUCAGCUUCAAAGGGGGUGCCAGGAGCAGCAGGAAUUUCUGACAGGAGGAGAGAACUGUUGACAAGUCCUAGGCCUGGCUCAGCAAACAUGGGCUGUGUGCUCUCCAGGCAGAUCGCCCUCACAAAGGACUCCUCAUGCUUCUUCAUUCAUUUAUUAUUUCAACAGGGUUUUCUUGAAUACCUACUCUGUGCCAGGCACUGUGCUGGUGUGGGGAUAGAGCAGUGAAUGAGUCGACUGGUCCUAUUCUCCCCAAACCUCUGAGGAAGACAGAAAAGUCAACAGCCAAUGGUGACACAGUGUAAUGAGUGUUCACAUAGGGGAAGAUGCUAUGGAUGUCACCGUAGGGGACCCAUCCUCACCAAAGGCAGUGGAAGAAGUACUGCAGGGAAGCAUCACAUGAACUGAAGCCAAAGAGACAAACACAAGUGAGUGGUGAAAGUGGUGGUUGCAGGGUGAGGAGUGGCAGUGGGGAGGAGGGUUCUAGUUCGAUGGACUAGACUGGCAAAGGUUUGGGGAUGAAAGAGCAUGUGCUACAUUAGGGCCCUGAGCUUAAUAGGUGUUCAGACACCCUGAGGGCCCAGGAAGACUUCCAAAGGCCUGUGGCAAGGAUACUUAAGGGGAUCACUCCCUGAAUCUUCAGAUUCCAUAUGGGCUCCUUCCCAGUGCUGAUCUGCUCAAGAAUAUCCUUCGGUGGAGGGCCUGCUCUUCCUGUCUCCACCUUCACAACCAUUCUGCCGCCAUGUUUUAAAGGAAGUACAUUGUAUGCUCACCCAUCCUGGAUAUUGCCAGGGCACAUUGUCAAGGGUGGAGGUGGUGACAGGGUCAAAUAAAAGAACAAUUCAAGAUA